GACGAACCGUGCGAACGUUGUUCGGAAUCACUGGGCUUAAAGGGCGCGUAGGCGGGCAUUCAAGUCGGUGGUGAAAUCCUCCAGCUUAACUGGAGAAGAGCUGUCGAUACUGGAUGUCUCGAGGGGUGCAGGGGUCUGCGGAACUUCGGGUGGAGCGGUGAAAUGCGUAGAGAUCCGAAGGAACGCCGGUGGCGAAAGCGCUCUGCUGGACCUUAACUGACACUGAGGGACGAAAGCUAGGGGAGCGAAUGGG
rnacentral:rRNA from 1 species